rnacentral:lncRNA from 1 species
CAAUAUUACUCUUUAUUUUUAGAUGUCAACGUUUGUUUAAGUUGUUGAAAUUAUGAAAUUAAGGCUCUUUAAUCAUAUACUCUUCCUUUAUGUGAUUUUAGAAAAAGAGUAAUUAAAUUGAGAUUAGGAAUUUAAUUCAUAAUCCAAUCUUCAGCACAGAUUCUAAAGGUUGAUAAUUGUAGUAUAAUAAUAAAAGUGCAUUAAAGAAAAAAAAAGAGCAUUAACAAAUAUGUAUUUAUUUAAUUCUUUGCCAGAUUUUAUUCUUCUGCUUGAUAGAGCAGUGGAAGCUGCUAGGGAUCUUCAGUCUUUUGGUAAUGCAGCAUAGUGCUGAGAUUCAUCAGACUGUCAGAUCUGUGAAACCCAGCCACAUUUGAAGGGUGUUUAAUAAUUCAAAAAGGAAGUUACCUUGUGUCUUCACAGUAAAAGAUGGAGUUACUGGUUAGACCCUACUAUGAAAAAAGAAUUCAAGAUGGGAAAGAUUGAGUUUGAGGUAUUCAGUAUUUAAACAGUCACUGGAGUGAAACACCAAAUAUUUUUAAGUUCUUCUACUGCUCAUAAUACAGAAUUAUAUUUGUAUAUCCUUUGUUACUUUACACUGGAAAAAUCUUACCUUCUUUCUAAGCAGAGAAUUAGUAUCAAUUUCUGAAACUUUGUGAGAAAAUCCAAUAUAUAAUGUAUCUUUUUGUUCCAUAUCGGAAAAAAAAUCUUCUAAAUUGAUUCAAAAUGAUCGGUUUUUAGAAAAUUUUAUGUAUAUAUCAGAUAAUCUUGCUGGUACAUUAAGCAGCGCAUUUCAGCCUCAGCUGCUUUUUGACAACAGAAAUUGAUAGUUGUUAGCACCUUCUUGUUUUUUGCUAUCAAUUAUGCAGACAUGUUUUCCCAUAACAAAGCCAGUCAUUUUUAUGGAACAUAAUUUGUGAGAUACAAAUAAUUUUAGCCAGACUCAGCAGUGGGCUAUAAAUAAAGCACUUUUGUGACAGCACUGUGAUCAGUGCUAGACAACAAUGCCGUAAAACAGUUGAGUGCUGUGCACUGCUUGCCUCAAAAGGAUUCAGCAUGACUGGUUGAGCACUUUCAAGAGUACUUGUCAACCUGUCCUCUGCCCUGAGUGUAGGAAGAAGUUGGGAAGAAAGUAAAUGUGGGUUAGCUGUGAGUUUCUGCAGAAAAACAUGGGUUUCUGAGAGGGAAAUUUUAUGGACAUACCCCACUUAGUGAAUCAACUAUUUUUAUAAAUAUGCAGUAAGAUUCAAAAAGACAUACAAGUAUCUGGGAGCAAAACAGCAAAACUCUUUAAUUAUAAUAAAAGUGGAAUAAAUAAAUGUGCCUCUUUGUGAAACAUUUAGUGUUGGAACUACAUGUACUUUUGGUGUUCUUUUCUUAAUGCAGGAUAAAGUAGCUUGCCCAUGCUUAGCUAUAGUGCAGUGCCUGAUUUAUUGUAUACUUUAUUUACUCUUUAAGCGUAAAGGUAAUUAUGCUUGGCACACUCAUGCUUUUUUUUUUUUUUCUUCCAAUUUUGCAAAUACAUGAAUAUUAACUCAAUUGUUGUAUUAAAAAUGAACGUGUGCCUUUAUGUUUUGAUCUGCUUACUGUUCAUUUGCUGUUACAGAAACAAGGACAGGGCUCAUUAAGUAUUACUAAGAGGUAGGAUACCAUGAAAUUAGUAAAUGUAGUAAUUUCCCAUUUGUGUGCUCUCAUACCAUUGAUGUGAAGUGCACAAGGAAGCUGAAGGUUUUUAACUGUGUAGGAAAAAAAUGCUACUGUGAAUAAACUGAUGCAUUCAGAGUUAAUUUUCUAGUUUCCUACACAGUGGCAUCUCCAUAAAUAUAGAUGAGCAUGAAUAUUUUGUUAUUCAAGAGUAAUAACAUGAAUUUUUCUGGAUAAGUUGAAGUACAUUUUUGGGCCUACAUUUCUAAAGCUACCCUCUAAUUUUUAAAAACUUUUUCUGGAUCAUUACUUAGCCAGAGCUUUUAAACUUUUCAGUUAGUAAAAUGUGAUAAAAAGUACAAGAAAAUGUUAUAUUUUCAUGUCAAGUAAUGCUCAGAUUGGCCCUGUCAGACCUACUUUUCUAAUGUGGCAGGUAGCAUAAUCACCCAGAUCAAUGAGCUAGAGCUAAAAAUACUGAGUAUUACCAGUGCCACUGUCAGCGCAGUCUUAAAUUCUUUAUUUUCUUCAGAACUGUACAUUUCAUUUUAAUUUUACUGCUGCUUCUUCAGAACAGCUCUGAUAUUAUGACUGUAGGUGGGAAGGGGGAAGAUUAGACUCCAGGAAAGAAAACAUCGACUCUGGACAACUGUGUAGAUGCUGAGUGUUUUUCAUGCUAUUUAAAUAUAAAUUUGAAAUAGUCCAUUUGAUAUCAUCAAAUGUAAAAUAUGCUAAAACAGGUUUGAUUGAAGAGGGCAACUUCAUAGUGAACAAACUGAAGGGAUCAAGGAUAAACCUCCAGUAAUGUUUUUUAAGAUCUACCUGUCCCUUCCUUCAGUUAUGGAGGAGUUGAAAUUUUUUCUUUUUCAAAAGUUCUGUUACUCACUGUUCUCUUAUUAGUGAUUAAAUGGGGCUAACUGUAUGAGUUGUGUGCUCUAAUAUAGAGAUCCUGAUGUUUGUCUGUUUUUCACUCUGAUCCAUUAUAUUGAGAGGACAAGGCACCAUUUCUUUGCUGUAAAUGUACGAAGACAUCCAGCAGUGUCUGUGAAACAGUGCUGCUGAUGACCUUGACAAGCCUACGUGCUUUUAUAUCUAUUGUAUGCCUUGAGAGGGUGUGGAAAAUAAGGCAGGGAGAACUAGCUUAAUAAGGUUAAAGGAGCAGCAGUCUCAUUCCUUUUGUGAAAAUGGCACUGCUAUACGCUGAAAGACAAUAGGUAGAAACAAUACAUAUGAGAACAAGUUAUGGCUUUAUAGUAUUUUCUAAACCCAUGUAGCAUAAAAAUAUUAUUGCAGUAUUAAACCAUAUAAAGUAUAUUUUUGUAUGUAUCACAAAGAAAAUUCCUAGAUUAAUAGGGAAAUAUUACCUAAUGAAUUCUAGGUCUAUGUUGAACAUUUUGACUUAUGUUUUACCCCUAUCUUCUUCUCGUUUAUUUUGUGUGUUGCAAAAGUAGCUACACAAUCAUAAGAACUCUGUAAACUAUAACUCUAUAGUUGUAUUGAGUAUCUAUUUGCGGAGGCAGCAUCAACCCAUAAAAGGAAAUUGUAUGCUGUGUUUGAGUAUCAACAAACACAUGCAAAACCCCAUAUACGUAUCUAUAUGAUUUAAUGAAUUAGGGAAAUAUUUUUCGUUAUAUAUGUAACUAUAUGCAUAUAUAUUAUAUGGUUUAUAUAUUACAUACUUUAUAUAUAUAAUAUAUAUACAGUUAUAUAUAUAACUAAAAAUAUUUCCAUAAUUCAUUUAAUCAUCAUAAUCCCCCUCGUGAAACAUUGUUCCUCUAGAAGAAUUACGGUCUUUCCAAAGGUUCUGAGAGAGAUUAGUUCUUCCUCAUGUAAGCUAAACCCAUUUUUCAUGAAAAGACAUUGAUUUAUACAUUUUGAUCACCAAACGUUGAGAGGAUGGGAAUGAAAAUAGAAAUUUAGACCUUGCCUAAUUUGGGCCUUGCCUACAACUCAAAAUUUUGUCUGUGUAUUGUUAAAUUAAUUGUUAGUGAUUUUGCAAUGGAGAUAAUCUGUAAAGUAGCCAGGGAGGAUUCUGUGGAGACAUUCCCCAAAGUAACAAGUAAGGACUCAGCAUGGCAUGUGGUUGGUUGUGGCACUGUUUCACUGAGAUGCAUCUGAAGCACAGUAGGGAUAGCAUGACUAAAAACAGCACGGGGAUGUUUUAUGAGUACUUGUCAUGAUGACUGCAUUAUUGUUUAGAAAUAACUGACCCAACUUUAAACAAGCCAGCUGCAGCAUGCAGUGAAGUAAAUGAGUUCGUGUUCCUGAGAUGCCUGAGCUGCUUUGGGUACCUACAAAUUUAUGUUUAUUUGAAUGUUAGUUUGAGUUUCUCUUAGUGGAGAAUGGACAUUAAAAGCAGCAGCAAGAAGAGUUAUUACAAGGUUUUAAGGCAGACUGAAGUCUAAUUUUGACUCAAGCCUGUUCCUACUCCUCAUUAAACUCAUGCAGUGAUAAUGUACAGUGCCUACUUGAUAAUCAGCCAAGUGGCUGAGCUAGUUAAUCUUCCUAAAACCGUACUUUCAGUUGUUUGUUUGUUUUUUUCUUUCUGUGGUUAUCUUUUGUAGUAGAAUAAACUAUAACAUAGAGAACUUCAGCACUGUGAUGCUAAAUUUGCUAUUACGAAUUUCUUUUUCCAUACUUUUAGUAGUAUACGUAGUACCUCCAGGAGUUCAUAAAUUACUACAAUAUAUUUACUUGAAGCAGUAUUUGGUAGAACUGAAAAUAAUCAGAUACUUCUGAAUCUGUUUGUAAAAUACAUGUUGCUAUCCAGUAAGUACGUCUGUAUGUAUGCAUGGUUGUUGGACAGCCUAAGUGCGAGGCUCCAUAGGUGCAUUGUUAACAACUCUCUUCAAUAAACAGCAGGAAGUGUCAGUGGUAUCCUUGUACAACACGGACUAUAUGAAUUAUUCAGCAUUCCUGUUAAAUUCAACAUUUUCAUAGAGUAACACUUAUGUUACCUAAAUCUAAAAUGUGCUGGCUAAAAAUGCCCAUUUCAAGUGAUGCCAAAUGAACUUGAACUUCUGACAGUUAAUAAUUGGCUUUUUAACACAAGCAAUAACUUGAUCUAAAAUCAAUAGGUCAUGUUAUAGCUGUAAGCAACACACAGGCAGCACACAUACUCUGUUCCUUUUACUUCUUUCAUUAAAUUUUCUGAAGUUAAUUUGAAAUGUUUUAUAAUAUAUUGAAGUUGAGCUGAAUAUGGAUGACCUUGUAAUACUAGUUUUGUAGUAAAUGGACUGAAAGUUGUCCAUAGCAUGGAUAAAUAUGAUUUAUAUCAUUAAAAGAACCCUGUUCCAUUACUGAAGAUAAAGAAGAGUGACAAGACAGAAAGCCAAUAUUGAUUUACCACAAAACAACAGUAGUAAUAGAAUAAUUUUAAAAAGAUUUAUUCUUGUGGGUCAUUCAGUUUUGACAUGCAAUGCUGAACUUAAAAGCUUAAGGGAAUUAGCCUUUUGUUGUUGUUGUUGUUAUUGUUGUUGUUGCUGUUGUUUCAAACAAAAUCUUCCCCAUCUUUUCAGGAUUUGAAUUCAGACAAAUUGUUUAUUUCUUCCCACAGAUAUAAAUAUUAAAAUGUGUCUCUUCUGUUUGAUACAUACCACUAGACUCUCCUAACAGUAAUUUAUUACUAUAUUUAAGCCAUGAGUCAUAAGUCUCAGUUGAGAAAUGAACUUUUCUCAUGUCACAUGCAUCAUAUCAAUUGCAGUUUGUCUGAAUUUCUAAAUAUCCAAAUUUUGCAUAAUAAAACUUAGAUUCAUACUUAGAAUGACCAACUGGUGCAUAUGAAAGUAGAUAUGUGUUCCUAUUGAACACGUUGUCUUGAGGUAUCCUUCAAUAGUUUCAAGAUGGUGGUUCAGUGUACUUCAUUAUCCAUGCAGAAUGAUUUUGUUAUUUAAUUACACUGUAAACAAUGGUGCAGGUGGUUGCCUAAAAAAAAAAAAAAAAAAAAAAAAAAAAAUCCAUAUCUUUGAUGUCGGAUAUCAGAUCUUUGUCUAAAAUAUUGCUGAUUGUAAUGCAGACUCCACACUUUUUACUUACCUUCACACUAGAUUAUUUCCUAAAAUUUAAUAAUUUUCUGUUGUCUCUUUCAGAAAAUAAGUUGACAAUACUGCUUAGUUUUCUUAUUUGAAAUAACCAUCAUUAAUGCUUUGAUUAAUUUUCAUGCCUAUACAAAGACUUUCCCUAGAUUAAAUGCUUUGAAUCAUUCUGAAUUGGAAAAAGUAUUUUUUUUUUUUUCUGGAAAAAAUAGAUUUUUACCUUUUCUGAGGUGAUAACAAUUUUCUUUUAAUCGUUUAAGAAAGUGAGGUCACCACAUUUAAGAAAGAAUUAUGCCCUUUGUCUUCAAAUGUGACUGAAUAAAUAAAGUUCUUGAGAAGGUCAAAAGCUGUGGGUUUGCAGCAUGGUUGUAUAAUACAGCAAAACAUCAUUCUACAUUUUUUGUGAACUGUUUUGUAUUUCAAGACCUUUAUUAUGGGGGGGGGGGGGGGGGAACUAUUAGAAAAUAAAUAAUUGUAGUAAAGGAAGAAGGCUCUGCAGUGAUUUAGAAUUCUAGAGCAGAGACUGAAUCUUUCAAACAGAUUCCAAUUCAGUGGGCGCAAAGAAUCUGUGCACUCUGACUUCAGCUACUCAUAACUUUCAACUGACUUAGCACAAAGUUCUGGAGAGAUACAGUUCUUCCUCUGAAAAGCCUUUGCUGCCACUCUGUGGAAGAAAUAUUUAUUCCAUGUAAAACAUUGUUAAAAAUAACACACCAGCUCAGCUUUCUCAUCUCCAGCAUCCACCCCACCUUUUAAAAGCCCCAGCUGAAUAACUGUAAACUAAAAAUAACAGUGUUGCAUAAGCUAACUGUGUACUUUCAGAUUCAGCUUUGACCUUAGUUAUACACCCCAGGGUAGGAAAACAAUGGUAAUAACACAAAGAACAGGGUUUUAACAGAGGGCUGCUAGAAAUCAGUUGAAGGAUUCAUCCUAAUUGUAAAUGGCAGGUCCAGAAAAACAACUAUGUAGGAAACAUCUAAAGGCACUGUCAAUGCAAAUACUAAGAGUAAAUGAGAAAUCAGUAUAUAUAUAUAUAUAUUUUUUUUUUUAAGACUUUUUUUUCAUUCAUUCUAGCAGACUGAUUAAGGUAGCAGUGCUAGUGCUUGCUAUGAACUUCAGUUCAAAAGGCAUUCAGACUCCAUGAAAGAUUGAUUAAGAAUAGCAUUUAUUGGUAGUUUUUCCACUAGAAAGGAAGGGAGCAUAUUGUAGGUAGGUUUAUAUCCCUUCAGAAGCUGGGAACCUCCCACUAUCAGGUGGGCUGGUGGGCAUCACAUUGUACAGAUCCCACCUUUGAGCACCCUUACAGGAUUUUCCUAGAUGUGAGCAACUCUGUUAAUUAUUUCUGCAGUCAAGCAAAUACUCACAUGAGAACAUGAUGCAUCACAUUAAGAUAAAGACAGGGACACACAAGUGAUGUGAAUGUGUGUGGGCUGCCUGCUGGGUCCUUAGGUGUGACUAACCAGUGGAGUCUGUCCUCUUUUCUAUGGUAGGACUCGGGCAGUGCAGCACCUUCUGCCAUGCAAUAGUACUUGAGAAAAAUAUAAUCAGCAAUACACUUCAUUUGUUACCCUGGUCACAUCUUUAAUUUCAUAUGAUGUUACUUCUUUACUUUCUACAGAUAUCACUUUAUUUUCUCUCCUCUUAAUUCAUUUUAAAGUUAUCUUUUGAACUGAACUUUCUCACUGAGCAGAAGAACAAAGGAGGGCACUCCAGGCUAUGUGAUGUUCAUCAGUGUGUGGCAUGAAAGUUGUAAUUAAUAAUGAGUUGCUUUCAAGCUUCAAGCAAGGACUGGUUCCAUUAAUCAUAGGCUGACCCACAAUAUACAGGUGCAAGCUAAGCUGAAGAUGACACAACUGAAUUAUAUGCAUUUGUAACGCUUUCAGGAUAUUGAUAUCUGCACCAAGUUCUUAGUAGUGGAGUUGAAUAUAUGAAAAUAUAGAAGGAAAAAAUCAUAUGGCUUUGGAUCAUAAAAAAUUAAAUGAAUUCUUAUAUUCCUGAUCUGGUGAAUCUGGGCACAUGGUAUUAAAAUAUCUAAAUACAGAAUUUAAACAACUGGGAUUGCGUAGAAUUAAAUAAUAAUGUAAUCUUUUGAUAUUAGAAACAUUAGAACCAAAUUUAAGCACUUAAGUAAUGACAUUUCAAAACUAAUGAAAACAAUCCCUAUCAAAAUAUCCAUCUUACCUCAUUUUUCUUUUCCUUUUUUUUCUCUAACCGUAGCUUUCACAAUGUUCCUAAUCAUCCAGGUCUGAAAAUAAACUAUGCUUAACGAUCUCUUUACAGAAAAGAACAUAGCAAAAAUUUGUUCUACUGAAAAAUCAUUCAUUGUAUCACUAAACUUAAGAUCUACUUGCUAUCUAGUGUAUUAUUAAGUGUUAGAGACAAACCUCAAAAACAAAAGUCUUUUAAAGAGAAAAUAAAGGUACAAACAAAGGGAAACAUUUGGAAAGGUAAUUUAGACAUGUUAGUAUGCAACCUCAAUUUAAAAAAAAAGAAAAAAAAGUCUUAUUACUUUAGCUACCAAAGGGAUUAAAUUAACUUCUCAGUAGUUAAGUACAGAUAAAAAUAGCAUUCAUCUUAGUUUAGCGUGAGCAUGCGUAAGACAAUAGAAUUCAGUAAGUGCACUUUUCACAUGCUUCCCUUAAGGUUAGAUUUCUUUUGGAAAGAGGUUUGGUAUUUGUCAGUUAAUCAGUAGGUGCUUUGAUGAAAUUUUCUUGUUCUUUAUCUCGUGAAUAUUUCCUGUGGUAAUUAUAGUUGUAAGGUAUAGAAAAGCAGGUUCUUCUGCCUGCAAGGACAUGGGCGAUGCUAAUUCUGGAAAUGAGACAUAUUUUACAUGGAUAAAAGACACAUGGAAAGCAGUGGGAUUUUCUAGGAAAGGAUAAUCUGCUUCCACGUUUUCAAAUCUUCUUUCUAGUACCAUGGAAGGAAAGGAAUAUUAACUGUUCAAUUAUUAUCUAACAUUAUCGCAGUAAAUCAUAAUCAUAAAAAUAUAAGUGGAGAAAUAGUGACCUUCUAGUUAUAUCAUAUUGUAUUAAUUUGUUGUCUUAAUUCUUUAGUAAUUCAUUCUAGAAAGCUAUGUCCAUGCUGUAAUAAGCUAAGGUUUCUAAACAUUUAGGCAAUUUUCUGUGAUUAAUCUCCAAUUUGAGAAGAAUGACAACGUUCUCCAGUCUACUCUUUCUGUAAUGAAUGUUUCUGAGCUGUGGAGAAGGAUGAUAUUUGUACUGAAUCAACAUAUUUUCUCUUUACCAAAGAAAUGAAUAAGCAGCUUUGUUAGGGAUGAACUUUUGAACCUUCUCACGUCUUAGAACUAGUCCAUCCGUCUCAGUGGGAGCUCUGCACAGCAGCCAGUCUACCACUCCCCACCGUUUGGUGUCCUUGAUGAACUUGGUGGGGAUUUUUGCUGUCCCACCUCUCAGAUAGUUAAUGAAUAUAUUAAACAAUAUUGUCUCCAGAAUUUGCUCCUGAGAAACAUGAUUAAUUAAAUUAUUUUGGACUGUUGUCUGUAUGGCUAAAUGCGUGCUAUACCAAAAGUGCCUUGUCACGUGUUAAUUCUCUGUUCAGUAGUGGGACACAGUUUCUGGGCAGUAGCAGAGGGCUAGAAGGGCAGGAGGGCAGUACUCAGGCAACAGAAUUUGGCUCUGCCACAGUUACAUGAAAAAAUUGAUGCUAUUGAUAUUAUUUCAACAGUGAGUAAAAAAAAUAAAUCAAGGACUUUUAAAUAAAUAGAACAUCAUUGUAAAAUUGAAUCAGGAAAAAAAAAAGCAGACACCAGGUCAUUUAUGAUUAGACAUCAGCUUUCCUACUUAUGCAAGUGAUGAUUAAUUUUAUAACAUAUAUUUGCAUAUUUAAAAAAAACACAUUCCCUUCUGCUUUCCCCAUCAGUACUUUGGCUUCAUUUUUCCUUGAAUUCAUGUGCAUUUCUACUGUGUAGUGUGAUAAGAACAUUUGUGGAUAGUGAGAUGAGGCUAACAGCAGGAUGAGGGAAUGAUGAAUGAGCCCAGGAAAGCCUUUGUUUCUGUGGAAGAGUUGCUGCAACAGCAGCUUACCUCCACAAUGACCUAUUUGGUGUCCUGUGGCUCUAUUUUCUUAGGGAAAGAUGUAACAUAAAUAUACCAGUUAAGUUAGCUUGGUGUUUUUACCACUAAGCAACCCGUAACGGGAAAGCAUUGUAUUCUCACAAGAAGAAUCUUGCAAAAUUUCCAGUUGUCUGCUUUAUUACAACCUUCCAUUGUGGACUUUAGUAUGCUGAUAUAUGUUCUUCUGGGAGCUUUUGCAUUUGCUCAAGCAGAUAAUAAGUCAUGGCAAUGUACUUACUGUUUUGCAUAGCAUUUUCAUACCCUGUCUUAGGAUGAAUCUAGAGUGCUCAUUUGGUGAUGUGCUUAUGGUGGUGAUGGGUUCAUGGUUGGAGCAGAUGAUUUUAGAGGUCUUUUCCAACCUUUAUGAUUCUGUGAUUCGUUUAAGAAAAGCACUUAUUACCAGCCAAUAAAGACACAACUUGAAAUGAAAUUUGUGAGUAAUAUGCUAGCAAUCUCUUUCCACUCCCCAUCGUAUAGGUUUCUUCUUUCAUCUUUCCUUCCACUAGUUGUAGUGCUGGCUUUUGUCCUUGCAUGUAGAUGUUAAUUUGCUUUGCAGUAAUUAUUAGUAUGUCAGUGGUUGCUGAUGCAUUCAUUGCUUUUUCCUGCACAAAUUUCCCUCAAGAUUUUACUAUAUUGGGAAAACAGCUGCUUCUCCAUGCCUCUGUUUGCAUUUCAUAUGAUUGCAAUGCAUGGCCAGCCCCACACUGACGUUUCUUUAGCAGAAGGGUGGUUAUGUAUGCAAAGACAAGUUGUACAUCAACACUGUGGAGCAACCACAUUGAACACACUCUGUUUCUAAGUCAAGAAAUUGUCUGUGGCAUACACUGAAAUGGAUUAAACAUUUGUAAUGAAAUUACUGUGUUGAAAUAUGUUUUUUUAAUUAUCUUUUAUGAUAGGAAAAAAUUAUCUACAUAGGAAAUUUAAAUGCUACCUGCUUAGACUAAAAGAGAAAAGUACACCACUGGUAUAAUAAAAUUAUUUAAGAUGUUCUUUUUCUAUCAGUCAAGCUCUAGCAUAGUGGAAGGUGAGCAUGUAAUUCUGUUUAGUAUAUGGUUUUUGCUUUAGGAAGGUGGGACUGUUGGUCUAGAAUUUCCAACUGAGCAGCAAGAUUUCUGCAGUUUUGACUUCACCAUUUAUAAAGACAUAACUAAUAGGGAAGAAGGGAAAAACUGACUUCAACAAGGGCACUCUAGUGGGGUGCUGCAGACACAGGGCUGCAGGUAGUUGGAUGUCCUUGUCACUUUCUGGGCUUGAUAACCAGAGGUUUGGGUUGUACUAUUUAUUACACCAGCAGCAGUAAAGGUAAUGUCACAGAAAAAUGGCAAAGCUUUCAUUUAAAAAUAAAAUAAAAUAAAAGCACAAAGUAAAGCAAAGAAGAAAGAAAAGCUGUAAAAUGAAGUGAGAUUUUUACACACCAAACACACACUGAAAUGUUUCCAAUAGCAAAUCACACAUAUAUACAUAUAUGGGAAUAUGCCUGUAUAUUUGCAAACGUGCAUGCAGCCAAAGAAGAAAGGGUGUUUUAGGAUGAACAGUGCUAGUGAGUGUGAGGAGAUUAUGUAGGACAUGUGUUAUUUAGCUGUAGAAGGUUUGUUAUUUUCCAGGCAGCUCAAGUUAUCACAAAAUUUCUGGAUGUCGCAUAAAAAGAUUGUUGUGCUUUAGGAUCUUCCCCCAAAUUAUAUAGCUUUCCUAAAGUUAUUUAUUUUUUUAAGAGUAAACAAUCUAUAAAACCUGAGUUUUUGAAAGCUGCUCAACCACAGCUGUAUUAAGGCCCCCUUUAGUGGUGUCCUCUCUGUAGAGAAGUCUGUAGCGCCAUUGAUGCAGAGAGGAGGCAUUGCAUUUCCACAGCUCUCAGAGUCUAGAAAAAACAGAAAGACUAUAAGGAUUUCUGUCCAUUCUUGUACUUUUCAUGCAGUAUAGUUUCUUGCAACAGUUAUUCAUGUUUUAAAUCUUUGCUACUGUGCAGCUGAAUGGAUCAGAAACUACUAAAGCAUUUGAGGAAUUUCUUAAGAGAUGAAAAGUAUAUGACAUGAUGAAUUAGAUUGCAGUAUCAUUCAGUCCUGGAAAAAAUAGGUUAAAUGAAAGUCAAACAGUCAGAACAUUCCCUUUUCUUGUCUAAACAACACUGCUGCCAUUUAUGCCUUGGUAUUUCAGAAAUAACCACUAAUGUCUUGUUAGCAGGAAGCCAUUACAGUGACAUAAAUCACAUCAAAAUGCGAAUACGAAUUCAAAUUAGGUUUCUUAAUACCAAUUAUAUAUAGACAGCUUUGGCUUAAAUAAUUGAAGUAUGGAAAACCAUUUUCAUUAAAUAGCGUGAUGUGAGCUGACAUAAAAUAGCUGACAUUUAAUUCUCUGCAAAUUCCGCACCCUGUAAGUGCAUGGCUGAAACCAAAAGGAAGGAGAGAAGGGCUAAGAAAGCAACAUUUUACCAGCUUUGUAAUAUACGACAAUAUAAACUUUAUAUUAAAACCUAAAGUUUGCAUGUGACUACAGCACCAAAUAUAACUUCCAAAGAAUUUUGGAGCUAUACUUUUUAUAAGUCUUUAAUGUCAUCUUAGUUCAGCUGCUGACAAGCAUGGCUCUACAAUGACAGAAUCAGCCCUUGGCAUUAGUCAGCAGAACACGAUUAUUUUGAUCAAGUUUCAGUUCAUUGUCAUGUUAUGUCAGUGAAGCCACAGGGACAAUCUGGAUUUAGUCCAGUACUAUUUUUUUUUGUCACCUUCAUGCUACUUGCAGGAAGAUGGAUAGUCUUGAUUGUAAAAACAUGGUGUUGGAGAUCCAACCAAAACCACAGCUCCUAGCAUGAACUCAGCCUGCUGGCAUUUUAUUUUAUUCUUUUCAAAAAAUUGAUUAUCAAGAGAGACAUUCUUCACUGUUGUCAAGAGACUGUCAAUGCCAUACCAUUUUUUGCUCUUAUCACUUUUACUGUCAUAAAAUACUUAAUGAAAACAUAUUGAGGUAUCUAUAAGUAAAAAAAAAAAAAAAAAAAAAAAAAAAAAAAAAAAAAAGGUAGACUAUUGAAGCAAAAAAGCAUAAGGACACUUUUUUUCUCUAAAAAUUAAAAAAAAAGAAGAAGAAAAAUGGAACUAUUAAAAGAUUUUCCUCAACUUCUCUACCUUAAAAGAUGUCACGCCAUGUUUACAGUUUUAUAGUCACAAUUUGCUUCAUUCCUUCAAACAAGCACUUUGCACCAGGCCUUCAGUCUCUUUCUUCUAUCUGCCAAUUCUUCUUCCUCUCAAUUGCAAUGUAAAGCUUUGAUUCAUGUGCAGACAUUCUGAUGGAGCUAAGUGCUGCGAUGUGGCCUUCAGCAGGGACACUGCUGCACUGCACAUUUGUCAUUAUUUCUGGCAACCAGAUGGCUGAGUCAAAAUUUAUACACCUGAACGGACCUACAGAAAUGAAUGGGACUACAUGAGUGGAAAGGAAUUGUUUUAUGACUGAACUCUGUGGCUAGGCAGAAGUCGGUAGAAGUAUUGCCAUUUACUUUAAUAAAGUUCUAUUCUACCCUUCACCAGCCAGAAUAUUUGGAGAAGUGAAGAACCACUGUUCCCAG